UACGUAGGGGGCUAGCGUUGUCCGGAAUCAUUGGGCGUAAAGAGCGCGUAGGCGGCUGGAAUAGUCCGGUGUGAAAUCCACAGGCUUAACCUGUGAAUGCCGCUGGAAACUGUCUGGCUAGAGUCCGGAAGGGGCGAGUGGAAUUCCUGGUGUAGCGGUGAAAUGCGCAGAUAUCGGGAGGAACACCAGUGGCGAAGGCGACUUCCUGGCCUGUUCUUGACGCUGAGGCGCGAAAGCUAGGGGAGCAAACGGG
rnacentral:rRNA from 1 species